UGCGUCAUUGGGUUUCCACAAAAUUAGAUAUUUUUAUGUGAUUUUAUUCAUCAUCCAUAGUCAGAGUAAAAUCCUGAGAAAAUUCAAAUGCAAAUGCAAAUCCAAAUCCAAUGUUAUGGAAACCAUUGCCUUUUCAAGUUACCUUCCACUGUAACUGACCUCCAUAGCUUUCCUUCCACUUCCUCCAGGAAGGUGCUUGAUGUCAUUCGAGUCAUUAAAGAUGAUUCUAACAAGUCAAAUGUCAAAAAGGCCCUUUUAGCUGCCAGAAAGAAGGAAAGAAUGAAGUUGCCUUUUUAUGAGAAUGGCCGUUUCGGUGAAAUGUAUCACAUAAGUGAGUUUUUGAAGCACCCAAAUGGAAUUAAAGCAAUGUUGAAUGUUAAUGCUUUGGAAAAUUAUGUAUCAAUCAACACCAACACGUAUAGGUGCAAACUUCCUCCGAUUCAGUUUCUGAACUUUGAGGUGGCCCCGGUGUUGGACUUAGAAGUGAAUCCAGCCACGGAAUGUUGCACAGUUGAGCUGUUGUCUUGUAAGUUUGAGGGCUCAGACAUAGUGGAGAACCAGAACAAGUAUUUCUCAGCAACCAUGAAAAAUUUCAUAACUUGGAACGAAGCUGGCUCAGAAUCAUUUCUGGAUGUUGAUGUGAAGUUGAAUAUGAAUCUUGAGAUAUACACCCAACCGUUUACUUACCUUCCUGUAUCAGCUGUUGAAGGCCCUGGAAAUCUAGUUUUACAGGCACUCUUGGACAGAUUAGUUCCAAUUCUGUUGCAGCAAUUGUUAAAAGACUAUGAUGCUUGGGUUAAGCAACAAUGUAAAUAUCUUCAAUAAUUCCAGGUUAUAGUGUACAGAUUGUACAUCUUCUGAUGGUCCUUUCUUGACUUCUCUGCUUCAGCUUCACUCAGUACUAUUCGUUGCUUCUCAAGUUGAGGGACUCUUUGGCCGAGCUCUCCUUUUUGGAUAUGAGUAGCCGCCUACCUUCUCUCCCCAGAUCCUGCUCAUUAUUUUUCUUUGGGUGGAAUACAAUGGAUAUGAUGAUGAUGAUAUUAAGUGGCUCCCACCUAGAGUGGUGUUUUAGGGUCAGAUGUACACAACCUUUAACCUUGUUAGUGACAACAAAGAGGUUGUUUUGAUUGACUCGUAGUAGCAAACAUCAUCUGCAACUUCUUAAUCACAUAUUUAAGAAGUGCACAUGAUGGAAUAUUGCAAGUAAACAUCUUUGUUGGGUUCCAUCACAUUAUGUCUACGUAAUCCUAUACCAUCAAUGCUGUUAAUAUAAGUGUCCUGCAAAACGUUUGCAGGUAAUCUUCCGUUUCACUUGAAUAAUAAUCGAUACUUGGGCUCACUGAGACUUGUUAAUAUGUACUUUUCGGAGAACUACUAUUUCAUCAAUGGUAUAGGAAGUAACUGUUGGAGCAAAACUGUGAUGAUGUUGACAUUAGCUGCAGAAGCCCGUGCUAGUGUUAUUGACACAUUUUGAAGAUCACAAAUUUCAAUUUUUCCUUUCACCCAGUUCCAGACUUGAAGUCAAUUGUCGUUCUCGAAUGGAGAUGGAACCUUUUGCCUCUAUGUCGUUUAUAUAAGCAACAAGUUAACGUUGUUUUAGUUUCAUUGUGGCUUCUCGUUGUUUACCGUUGUUCUAGAAGAAUAGAGUUAUUCAUUCCCUUACUGAUGAGCAUUGUUUAAAACUUAAGAUCAGUGCUAAACUUAUUACGUCGUAGGACAAAAAACGUACAAAUAUUGUUAUGUAUUGAGGUGUAUAUUUAGUUGUUUGGUUGGGUUUGAGGCAUAAUAUAAUUGCAUUAGAUAUUUUUAGUUUAUUGAUGCAAAA